rnacentral:rRNA from 1 species
GGAGGUUACUGCUAUCGGUGUUCGCCUAACCCAUGCAAGUCAUAUGUUCUUCGUGAACAUGGCGUACUGCUCAGUAACACGUGAAUAACCUGCCCUUGGGACCGGCAUAACCCCGGGAAACUGGGGAUAAUUCCGGAUACCGCAUAUAUGCUGGAAUGCUUUAUGCGUGAAAUGGAUUCGUCUGCCCAAGGAUGGAUCUGCGGCCUAUCAGGUAGUAGUGGGUGUAAUGUACCUACUACCCUACAACGGGUACGGGUUGUGAAAGCAAAAGCCCGGAAAUGGAUUCUGAAACAUGAAUCCAGGCCCUACGGGGCGCACCAGGCGCAAAAACUUUACAAUGCGGAAAACCGUGAUAAGGGGACACCGAGUGCCACCAACAUUUGUUGGCUGUCCAGGUGUGUAAACUACACCUGUUAGCAAGGGCCGGGCAAAACCGGUGCCAGCAC